rnacentral:lncRNA from 10 species
GUCUGGCCGAGGUCCGAGGAGGGGUCCGGAGGUCUGGCCGAGGUCCGAGGAGGGGUCCGGAGGUCUGGCCGAGGUCCGAGGAGGGGUCCGGAGGUCUGGCCGAGGUCCGAGGAGGGGCCCGGAGGUCUGGCCGAGGUCCGAGGAGGGGUCCGGAGGUCUGGCCGAGGUCCGAGGAGGGGUCCGGAGGUCUGGCCGAGGUCCGAGGAGGGGUCCGGAGGUCUGGCCGAGGUCCGAGGAGGGGUCCGGAGGUCUGGCCGAGGUCCGAGGAGGGGUCUGGAGGUCUGGCCGAGGUCCGAGGAGGGUCCGGAGGUCUGAAAGCGCAGACUGCAGGGCAGACUACUGCAGGAUCUAGGCGCUGACGAACAGGAAAGAGGGUGGGAAGUAAGAGAAGAACCUCCAGGGAGAGAGAGGGGGACACUGAUAGAUGGGGAUGGCGUGUGAGCAGGGAGAGAGCUGGCGGGGAGCCCGGAAUGGCAGACAAAUGCCUCUUCCUAUGAAAAUAAGGGGAACCGGUGAGGCCAGGAGCUGAGAGAGAUCUUUGCAGAGAGGGUGGAGUAGAGGCAGAGCGCAGGAACUUGCAGGGAUUCCUGCUAGACAGCUUCUGUUUUCUUCUUCUUCCUUUUUUUUUUUUUUUUUGUGAGACGAAGUCUCGCUGUCCCCCAGGCUGGAGUGUGCAGUGGCGCGAUCUCGACUCACUGCAACCG